rnacentral:rRNA from 2 species
GGCGCCUUCGGUGUCCGAGUUGUAAUUUGAAGAAGGUAACUUUGGUUUUGGCUCUUGUCUAUGUUCCUUGGAACAGGACGUCACAGAGGGUGAGAAUCCCGUGCGAUGAGAUGCCCAAUUCCAUGUAAAGUGCUUUCGAAGAGUCGAGUUGUUUGGGAAUGCAGCUCUAAGUGGGUGGUAAAUUCCAUCUAAAGCUAAAUAUUGGCGAGAGACCGAUAGCGAACAAGUACAGUGAUGGAAAGAUGAAAAGAACUUUGAAAAGAGAGUGAAAAAGUACGUGAAAUUGUUGAAAGGGAAGGGUUUGAGAUCAGACUUGGUAUUUUGUAUGUUUUACUCUCGGGUGAGGCCUCUGCAGUUUACUGGGCCAGCAUCAGUUUGGAUGGUAGGAUAAUGACAUUGGAAUGUGGCUCUUCGGAGUGU